GCCAUUACUUACACACUCCCUACCUCCAUACUGCAUUCACAUUAGAGGUCUACGAGUGCUGAACUUUAAGGUGUGUUUGACAGGGAGAAGAUGACAUUUAAACAAUAUUAAAUGGUAGGAACUUUAAGAUGUGCUUAUACAAUAUAAAAUGGUACGAACUUUAAGAUGUGCUUGUACAAUAUAAAAUGGUAGGAACUUUAAGAUGUGCUUGUACAAUAUAAAAUGGUAGGAACUUUAAGGUGUGCUUGUACAAUAUAAAAUGGCAAGAACGUUAAGGUGUGCUUGUACAAUAUAAAAUGAUAGGAACUUUAAGGUGUGCUUGUACAAUAUAAAAUGGCAAGAACUUUAAGGUGUGGUUGUUCAAUAUAAAAGGAUCGGGAUCUGGUUAUAAUGAAUAACAAAUAACAUUGCAUGUACAGUCUA
ensembl:lncRNA